rfam:Stegodyphus mimosarum contig77258, whole genome shotgun sequence.
GCCUUCGUGGUGUAAUUGCCAGCACACUAGACGCGUAUUCGAGAGGUCCGAGGUUCGAGUCCCGGCGAAGGCC